rnacentral:rRNA from 1 species
GAUGAACGCUGGCGGCGUGCCUAAUACAUGCAAGUCGAGCGAACAGAUGAGGAGCUUGCUCCUCUGACGUUAGCGGCGGACGGGUGAGUAACACGUGGAUAACCUACCUAUAAGACUGGGAUAACUUCGGGAAACCGGAGCUAAUACCGGAUAAUAUAUUGAACCGCAUGGUUCAAUAGUGAAAGACGGUUUUGCUGUCACUUAUAGAUGGAUCCGCUCCGCAUUAGCUAGUUGGUAAGGUAACGGCUUACCAAGGCAACGAUGCGUAGCCGACCUGGGAGGGUGAUCGGCCACACUGGAACUGAGACACGGCCCAGACUCCUAGGGAAGGCAGCAGUAGGGAAUCUUCCGCAAUGGGCGAAAGCCUGACGGAGCAACGCCGCGUGAGUGAUGAAGGUCUUCGGAUCGUAAAACUCUGUGAUUAGGGAAGAACAAAUGUGUAAGUAACUAUGCACGUCUUGACGGUACCUAAUCAGAAAGCCACGGCUAACUACGUG